CAUGUAUUUAUUUUACAUAUCUACUUGGGUGGGGAUGUUAUUCUUAUUACUAAUCUACAUUUCUUUCUAUUAUUUUUAUUUCAUAUUAUUUGUUUUCUUUUUAGUUUUGUUCUUGCUUUUCUAGCUUACACAUGGGAUUCAUUUUUAGCUUACUAAACUAGUGAGGGAUAAUAGGUGUUGCAAGGUUGAGUAAAAUAAAGUACCUCAUGAGCAUUUCACUUCCCAGUUGACUUUAACAUAUUGGCAAAUGCUUUUUUCUCGUGUUCGCGUCGUUCAGCAAUCUGACCAUUUCAGUUGGAUAAAACCCCAGUUUAAUAUGAGCAUUUAUUAGUACUAACAGUUCCACAAUAGAUGUGAUAUACAGACCUUCUUAUUGGCAGCAGCGAGCUCCUUCUUUAUACCAACUGGGAGAAACCAGAUUCCAAUUCAGUACAAUGGUC
rnacentral:lncRNA from 1 species